GGGUCUGUGGUGUAGUUGGUAACACAUCAGGUAAACUUGUCUUCCUAAGCUUGCUUCACCUGAAGUGAAUCGGUUCGAAUCCGGUCAGAUCCA